rnacentral:rRNA from 1 species
GCGAACGUUAGCGGCAGGCCUAACACAUGCAAGUCGAGCGAGAAAGGGGCUUCGGCCCUGAGUAAAGCGGCGGACGGGUGCGUAACACGUGGGUAAUGUGCCCUUCAGCGGGGGACAACAGUCCGAAAGGAUUGCUAAUACCGCAUACGUCGGUUGGUGCUUCGGCAUCGAUCGGGAAAGGUGGCCUCUUCAUGAAAGCUACCACUGAAGGAGCAGCCCGCGGCCCAUCAGCUAGUUGGCGGGGUAAUGGCCCACCAAGGCUAAGACGGGUAGCUGGUCUGAGAGGAUGAUCAGCCACACUGGAACUGAGACACGGUCCAGACUCCUACGGGAGGCAACAGUGGGGAAUAUUGGGCAAUGGGCGCAAGCCUGACCCAGCCAUGCCGCGUGAGUGAUGAAGGUUUUCGGAUCGUAAAGCUCUGUGGGGAGGGACGAAACAGCACGGUGCUAAUAUCACCGGGCCUUGACGGUACCUCCUUAGCAAGCACCGGCUACUCCGUGCCAGCAGCCGCGGUAAUACGGAGGGUGCAAACGUUGCUCGGAAUUAUUGGGCGUAAAGCGCACGUAGGCGGUUUGAUAAGUCGGAUGUGAAAGCCCUCGGCUCAACCGAGGAAGUGCAUUCGAAACUGCCAGACUUGAGUAUGGAAGAGGGUCGCGGAAUUCCCGGUGUAGAGGUGAAAUUCGUAGAUAUCGGGAGGAACACCAGUGGCGAAGGCGGCGACCUGGGCCAAUACUGACGCUGAGGUGCGAAAGCGUGGGGAGC